rnacentral:snRNA from 1 species
UUGCUUGCUUCGGGGCACAUAUACUAAAAUUGGAACGAUACAGAGAAGGUUGGCAUGGCCCCUGAGCAAGGACGACAUGCAAAUUCAUGAAACGUUACAUAUUUUU